UAGAAAUAUCAAACUGAAUCUGUUGGGGCUGGAUGGACUUGUCUCAGAAGAUAAUAUCUGUGGUUCUCACCUUAUGAUCUGAACUGAUUGGCUCUUCUUGGAUCUGGAAUCUGCUGGCUGUUUGACUGGAACUUACACCAUUGGAUCUCCUGUUUGCUAAUUGCAAAUCUUGGGAUUUAUCACCCUCCAUAUUCAUCUUGAAUCUUCUGUGAAGUCUUUACUAAGAACUCCCAAUUCUAAGCUACCAAGCAUUUCCAUGGUGUUGGUAUCACAGGGACCUGUCAGAGCCUUUAACUGUGAAAGAGACAAAACUUCCUUCUCCUUGAAAGAACUGUGCUCCUAAGGGUGGUUUUAUUAAAGCAUGGCCACAGGAUUCAUGGGUGAAAAGAGCUGCCUCAACAGUAUAUCAUCUUAAAAAUCUAGCUUAUCCAAAGCUUUUAUUUAAAAAAGUAAACGUUUUUAAAAUCAAGGAAUAAUU